GCAAAUUAUACUUAUCAUGUAAAGAGGUCAGAACAAUGUAUAUUGUGAAAAUUAAGAAGAAUACUAGACGUUUUCAGCAAAACAGGAUUACUCAGUGGUGUCAUCGCCAUCGUCUAAUCAUUAGGCUAAGCCUGUGAAUCACACAUCUGAACCAUUCAGGGCAGACAGCGUGAGUGUUUCAUGACUAAUGAGGUGAGAUAUUGCAUAAUUUGAUUUGCAUAAAGACGACAUGUUUUUAACAUCCUUCUUCAAGGCAUUCAGCAGCUGUGAUUGUGUGUUUUCAUGUGUUUUUCUUGCUUUUCAUAAUCUUUGGCUUCUUUUCUUUUACAUUCUGCUUGGAUGUCACUCUUUAACCUGGCUGAAUAAUAACUCUAUUUGAGGAGUCCUAUUAUGUAAAAAUCAUGAGAAUAAUGGGGUUUUCUCCCUGGAGAAAGUGGACUGCCGCUGUGAUUAAAGAAUAAUUCAAAACUACAUAUAAUUUAUUUUUAAAGUGUGCUUGAAGUGUCUUAAUAAAAACAUUCAAUCUAAGCACAUUUUAAAAUACUUUGCACUGUUGUUUUAGAUAAAUUAAACGUGUUCCAAUAAAGGACUGGCUUCAUGCUUAAAUCUAUGGAGGCUGAGACCGGCAGAGCAUGAAAUUAUUGUGAUGAGAUUUGGUCGAGAUCAAAAGUGAUCAUUUCUGUUUUGUCUUUGGAUAACCAAAAAUCUAAUUGUGCAUUCAGAUCAAGAUGACUAGAAGAUUAAAGUGUGAAAAUCAGCCAUUUUUGUGUUGUGCUGGAGCGUCUUCACUCAUUUGGUUUGAGUUUUAUUUUUGUUGGAGCACCAUCAUUCUUCUGGGCAUCCACUAGAUGUCACCAGAUGCAGAGCCCCUGAGAAGCUGCAGGGGUAACCCCGUGGCCACACCUGUAGCUUGUUUGGAGGGCGUGGAUUGCAGAUAUAAGCAGCGGCUGAACGACUUCUCAUCGCCUGAGUGUUAGCUUACCUUGGUUAUCCUGUUGCCGCCUCGCUGUUCCUUUGUGUGCCGUCAGCCCUGGGCUCAGAAUGAGCUCUUGAUCCUCGCUGUCUGUGAGUUACCUUCCUCAUGUGUCCUCCCUCGACGUUGCCGGUCGGACGGCACCCCUCGUGUGUUCACCUUCCCCAGUCUUCGGUCCGUCUCCAGUGGAUUCCCCUUCGGGACGCAGAGGAUCUGUCGGUCCUGGCCCGAACCCAAUCUGGAGAAAAGGAACUGGACCAAGUCGUACUCCGCUCUUUCCGCCGCAAGCAAACCUGUCCGCCCUCCGACGAGGCUCGAUUAUCCAGCACUCGGCUCUCUAUUACUCACCUUCAGAUCAGUAAGACGACCCGGUCAUCCGCUCCAGUACUCAUUCCCUUCCCCUCUCCCCUGGAAUCAAUAAACUCAUUAUUAUUGUUCAC